rnacentral:rRNA from 1 species
AUUGAACGCUGGCGGCAUGCCUUACACAUGCAAGACGAACGGUAACGCGGGGCAACCUGGCGACGAGUGGCGAACGGGUGAGUAAAGUAUCGGAACGUGCCCAAUAGUGGGGGAUAGCCCGGCGAAAGCCGGAUUAAUACCGCAUGAGACCUGAGGGUGAAAGCGGGGGACUCGCAAGAGCCUCGCGCUGUUGGAGCGGCCGAUAUCAGAUUAGGUAGUUGGUGGGGUAAAGGCCUACCAAGCCGACGAUCUGUAGCUGGUCUGAGAGGACGACCAGCCACACUGGGACUGAGACACGGCCCAGACUCCUACGGGAGGCAGCAGUGGGGAAUUUUGGACAAUGGGCGCAAGCCUGAUCCAGCCAUGCCGCGUGCGGGAAGAAGGCCUCGGUGUAA